rnacentral:rRNA from 1 species
UGGGGAAUUUUGGACAAUGGGCGCAAGCCUGAUCCAGCCAUGCCGCGUGCAGGAUGAAGGCCUUCGGGUUGUAAACUGCUUUUUGUACGGAACGAAAAGACUCUGGUUAAUACCUGGGGUCCAUGACGGUACCGUAAGAAUAAGCACCGGCUAACUACGUGCCAGCAGCCGCGGUAAUACGUAGGGUGCGAGCGUUAAUCGGAAUUACUGGGCGUAAAGCGUGCGCAGGCGGUUAUAUAAGACAGAUGUGAAAUCCCCGGGCUCAACCUGGGAACUGCAUUUGUGACUGUAUAGCUAGAGUACGGCAGAGGGGGAUGGAAUUCCGCGUGUAGCAGUGAAAUGCGUAGAUAUGCGGAGGAACACCGAUGGCGAAGGCAAUCCCCUGGGCCUGUACUGACGCUGAGUG